UACAGAGGGUGCGAGCGUUAAUCGGAAUUACUGGGCGUAAAGCGUGCGCAGGCGGCUUUGCAAGACAGAUGUGAAAUCCCCGGGCUCAACCUGGGAACUGCAUCCAAAACUGCUGAGCUAGAGUACGGCAGAGGGGGAUGGAAUUCCGCGUGUAGCAGUGAAAUGCGUAGAUAUGCGGAGGAACACCAAUGGCGAAGGCAAUCCCCUGGGCCUGUACUGACGCUCAUGCACGAAAGCGUGGGGAGCAAACAGG
rnacentral:rRNA from 1 species